UUGUUCUUUUCAAAAGCUACAUAGUAUUUUAUUAUUGUGCCAUAAGUUAUCCAGGCUCUACUGAUCUAUAUUCAGCUUGUUCAUUAGGAUUCUCUUUGUUGAAAUUGGAAGAAUCCCAACUCAAACUAGUCUUAGCUAAAGAGGGAGUUCAUUGUCCCAUUUAGUCAUAUUUGCGGAAGAGCAGGCUGAUGUUAGCCUCAGAGGGUGCCUGCAACCAGAGACCUUAGCGCACUAGAAAUUGCCAUCUCUCCGUGUCUCAUCUCUUUAUUUUAGCAUAAACAGCUUCAUUCAUAGACUAGCUUCACCUCCUGUGUGAGAGACAAAAUUGGAAGUUCCAGAUUCUAUCCUAGCAACUUUCUGACCUAACAGGAAGUAAUUCUUUUCUAUCAGUUCCAAGUGAAAAUAAUCCUGGAGUCACAGCCCCAACAAUCUUACUACCUGAAAAGAAAAUGACUCUUUCCUGGAUGAAGACCCUGACUGGUUCAUGUUAGAUUAUGCAUCCACCCUUCUGAAGAAUUAAGUACUAUUGCUUCUGCCUUCCAUUAUCCUUUUCCACUUCACUCCCAACUUCUGGCUGAAUGGAGCUGCUGCCUUCUUACAUGAUCCAGUAUCCCUGAAUCUGGAGGUAGAAGGGUGGUGAGAUUGAGAGGCUGUGCUUCUGGAAGCUGCUGGAAACCGUGACCCCUCACUAUGGAGAAAGACUGUAGUAGGAGAGCAUGAUGCCAACAUGCCCAAGGAAACAUGUCCCGUCUUGCCAUGGGUCAGGCUCAGUUGGUCAGCUUUUCCUUUGAUUCUGUGAGCUGGCUCACUAUCCAUUCAAUAUUCCACCCAACACACUUUUUUUUUUCUUUUUGCUUAUAGCAGUUUGAAUUGGGUUGUUAUCACAUAAACUCCUCAACUAAUAAAAUUAAAAAAAAUUUUUUAAUGUUUAUUUAUUUUUGAGAGAAAGAGACAGAGUGUGAGCCAGGGAGGGGCAGAGGGAGAGGGAGACA